rnacentral:lncRNA from 1 species
GACUGUCAGGAAUCCAUCCCGGCACGGCCGGAUACAGCUCAGGCCGAGGUCCUCUCUCCGGGUGUGUGACCUUCUUCGAUCUUCGUGGCUUGCCCCCUGGCGCCCGUGCCUCGGCACCGCUCCCGUGGGAGGCCUCCCUCUCGACGCUCCUGCCGGCGCCGGCGCGACGCUCCACGUCGGAUCCCACCAUCUCACCUACAAGAAGGCGCCAAAAGAUUAGUAUAAGUUGCCAUAAAUUCCUAAGGAAAGCAACUAGGGAAAAUCUAUGUCGCAAGGUCACGCACAAUCGCCGUUAAAAGAGAGAAGGGAAGAAUCCCCCCGAAGACCAAGCCCGAGUACGGCCCAACCGGCCGGAUCUACCUCAGCGGCAAAGCAAAAAUAAAAAAAGGGAGCCCGGCUACCCCCACGGCCCCCUUCCCGCCGACCUCCAGUUCGCUUCAGCCUACGGAGAAAGGGCCUAGAAGCCUCGCGCGCAGGGCCGCCGGCCCAAAACGCGCAGACAAAAAAAAGGGAGCCCAGCUCCCCCCGAAGCUGUCCAAGGGCCCACUACCCGGCCACCGGUCCAUCCCAAAGCAAAAAAAAAAGGAAUGAGAGCAAGAAAAGGGAGGCCGCCUGGGAA